UACGUAGGGUGCGAGCGUUAAUCGGAAUACUGGGCGUAAAGCGUGCGCAGGCGGUUCUAUAAGACAGAUGUGAAAUCCCCGGGCUCAACCUGGGAACUGCAUUUGUGACUGUAGAGCUGGAGUGCGGCAGAGGGGGAUGGGAAUCCGCGUGUAGCAGUGAAAUGCGUAGAUAUGCGGAGGAACACCGAUGGCGAAGGCAAUCCCC
rnacentral:rRNA from 1 species